GACGAACGCUGGCGGCGUGCUUAUCACAUGCAAGUCGAACGGAAAGGCCCUGCUUUUGUGGGGUGCUCGAGUGGCGAACGGGUGAGUAACACGUGAGUAACCUGCCCUUGACUUUGGGAUAACUUCAGGAAACUGGGGCUAAUACCGGAUAGGAGCUCCUGCUGCAUGGUGGGGGUUGGAAAGUUUCGGCGGUUGGGGAUGGACUCGCGGCUUAUCAGCUUGUUGGUGGGGUAGUGGCUUACCAAGGCUUUGACGGGUAGCCGGCCUGAGAGGGUGACCGGCCACAUUGGGACUGAGAUACGGCCCAGACUCCUACGGGAGGCAGCAGCGGGGAAUAUUGCACAAUGGGCGGAAGCCUGAUGCAGCAACGCCGCGUGCGGGAUGACGGCCUUCGGGUUGUAAACCGCUUUCGCCUGUGACGAAGCGUGAGUGACGGUAAUGGGUAAAGAAGCACCGGCUAACUACGUG
rnacentral:rRNA from 1 species